ACGGGAGGCAGCAGUGGGGGAUAUUGCACAAUGGGGGAAACCCUGAUGCAGCGACGCCGCGUGAGUGAUGAAGUAUUUCGGUAUGUAAAGCUCUAUCAGCAGGGAAGAUAAUGACGGUACCUGACUAAGAAGCCCCGGCUAACUACGUGCCAGCAGCCGCGGUAAUACGUAGGGGGCAAGCGUUAUCCGGAUUUACUGGGUGUAAAGGGUGCGUAGGUGGUAUGGUAAGUCAGAAGUGAAAACCCAGGGCUCAACUUUGGGAUUGCUUUUGAAACUAUCAGACUAGAGUGCAGGAGGGGUAAGCGGAAUUCCUAGUGUAGCGGUGAAAUGCGUAGAUAUUAGGAAGAACACCGGCGGCGAAGGCGGCUUACUGGACUGUAACUGACACUGAGGCACGAAAGCGUGGGGAGCAAACAGGAUUAGAUACCCUGGUA
rnacentral:rRNA from 2 species